GACGAACGCUGGCGGCGUGCUUAACACAUGCAAGUCGAACGGUAAGGCCCUUCGGGGUACACGAGUGGCGAACGGGUGAGUAACACGUGGGUGAUCUGCCCUGCACUUCGGGAUAAGCCUGGGAAACUGGGUCUAAUACCGGAUAGGACUCCUGGCUUCAUGGUUGGGGGUGGAAAGCUUUUGCGGUGUGGGAUGGGCCCGCGGCCUAUCAGCUUGUUGGUGGGGUGAUGGCCUACCAAGGCGACGACGGGUAGCCGGCCUGAGAGGGUGACCGGCCACACUGGGACUGAGAUACGGCCCAGACUCCUACGGGAGGCAGCAGUGGGGAAUAUUGCACAAUGGGCGCAAGCCUGAUGCAGCGACGCCGCGCGAGGGAUGACGGCCUUCGGGUUGUAAACCUCUUUCAGCACCGACGAAGCGCAAGUGACGGUAGGUGCAGAAGGAGGACCGGCCAACUACGUGCCAGCCGCCGCGGUAA
rnacentral:rRNA from 1 species